rnacentral:lncRNA from 1 species
CCGCCGCGAUCCCUGCGCACCACGGCCCUGCCCGCCACGGGGCGAGCCCGAUAAGAGGGCUGUGGACGUUCGGGUCUAGUUGGGAGAGACAGGGGUCCCUGACUCUUGAGCGGUCAGUCAUUUCCUCCCCAGUCCUUGUGGGUGACGUGGCUACGGUUUGGAGCAGCAAGCCCCCUCCCCGAACUAAAGGGCCUCUCCAAAGGUUAAGCCAGGGCAGUCAUUGAGGUCAAAACCAAUAUGUAGUUUCUUGACUGCAGGUGCCUGCACGACUCCCAGAAAGUCGCGUCUCCCCUAACCCCCAUGCCCAGGACCUGAGGACAAAGGUCUAGCGAUUGUCCAUCCCCUCCCCCAGUGAGGACAGCCGGGAAAGACCUGCCUUUGUUGUGUACAGGUGGUAUCUCACUGUGUUAUCCAGACUGGACUCAAAUUUCUGGGCUCCAAUGGUCCUCUCACCUCAGCCUCCCAAGUAGUCAGGACUACAGGUAACUUGUGUGCCGUGAUAGCACAGCCAAUACUUUGGAGACUUGAGCAAAUGGUGGAGGGAAAUGCCAAUCAAUAAUAUUGAUGAUAAAUGUUUACCAGAUGUCUGAUCAAUCAAUAAUGAAGCAAAACAGAAACAGGAACAAAAUGAAACAAAAAUUAAGAACUCCAUGGCAAUGUUUUGAGGAUUAAAGAGGAGAGUGAUGACUAUCCAAACGUCAGAGAACGCAACUAUGAGACUAGAGACACUGGAAAACUAAAAAAGUAACGGGCCUUUGCUGACUCAGGGAGAUGAUUUCCCAAGAGGGAAGAAAACUGGAACCUGAGAAAUAAGUGAUUUAGUAAUGUGGCUGCUAAAAUACGGAAAAACUAGAAUGAAUGGCUUACACAUUUUUGAAAUGAAGUUAGAAGAGGGUUAUACUGUGAAGAAGAAUGAAAAAGCCAAACAUUUCAUUCAGGUAAGCAUAUCACAUAGGAGAAACUCUAGGUGACUUUGGUUUGGCAGUGAGUUUUUAGAUACAACACCAAAGCACAAUCCAUAAAAGAAAAGAAAGAUAGAUAAGUUGGACUUCAUUAAAAUGAA